ACUACUACAACUACUAAGCCUACAACCACAACAACUAAGCCUGCAACUACAACCACCCAUUUUUGUUUGUAUUGUUAAUGUUAUAAUGAAGGAUUACAAAAAAAAUUUAGUUUUCCCUUAGGUUUGGCAAAUUUGUUAUCCUAACAAAUAAGGAUUUUUUAACGGGGAGGCACAUUUUUUCCAUUUUGACCUCAAGAUGAAGAGAAUGCGUGCUGUUGUUGAUUUGAAAUUUUCGACAAUUCGACAAUCGUAAAAUUAAUUUAUAUGGAGCGUCAAUGGCCAAAAGUCUAAUUCAUAUACAUAACCAGUGUGUUGGAUUUGGGGCCAUCAAAUCACUCAAAUCCAAAUCAAAUCCGAAAAAUUUGAGGAUUUGGAUUGGAUUUCCCAAUGUGGGAAAAGGCAGUGAUUUGAUUUGGAUUUGACGCAAAAUGUCAUAAAAAUCAAAUCAAUUUCAAAUCCAAAUCCAAAUCAUUAAGAGUAACUUAACCAAUGGCCCACCAGAGGUCUGACUUCGCUGACGUCUACUGACCUGACUUGACUUCUGGCUUAUUUGAGCUCAUAUUCCUUCACACGUUGAGUAUCUGAAUUCUGUGUUUUUAUUUUAAUGUAAUUCUGAGUGAAUUUUCUGCAGGUAUAAAUGUUUAAUUAAUAUUUUUACUUUCUGUUCGGUUUUAUACAUGUUCCCAUUUUGGCAUUUUCCUUUUUGGUUUGGUCUUUUCAAUAGACCACUAUUCCACUAAGUUAACGUGACUGUAGGACCUCGUGAUUGUGCCAACUUUGCAAUCUACAUCUAUCAAUUACAUCAAAGAUUCAAAGACAAUUAAUAAAGAUUAGUUUGGUCUACUACUAGCUUAUGUAUCUUUCUGUUGUACAUGGUGUUACUGCGAGCCAAUUGAAAUCAGUUGGAAUUCUGAUUGCGACUAAUUAGCCAGGUCUAGUUCUGUUAGUUUAGUUUACCUACAUCAAGAAUGAGUAGGGGAGAACGGGGUCAACUUGGACACGGGUCAUAUUGGACAAAGACCCUAAG
rnacentral:lncRNA from 1 species